UACAGCAGUUUUACAGCUCUAAUGACAAAAUAUCGUAAUUUAUCUGAAAUUAAUUUCUCGUCAACAGUAGAUCUUUCCAGCACAUCUAGUUCAACUUCGUUAUCAAAUACGGCAGUAGAUGUUAGCAAAAUCCUGCCAGAUAAUACGUCUCAGAAUUCACAAACAGAAGUUGUUAUCCAAGAAAUUGACACUUCUAAUGCAAUUAUUGAGCCUGACAGUGUGGUAAAUAUAGAAACAAAUUCAGGUGUUAAACGAGUUUGUUUUUUUUGUGGAAAAGAUCGCAAGCAAGGUAAACAACAAACUUUACACUCCUCAAAUGAUGCAAAUAUUUAUAAAAAAAUAGCAGAGUGGAUGACAAAAUUAAGUAAUCAAGAGUUGUUAGACAAAAUAGAAAAUUUACAGUCAAAAAGUGAAAUUAUUUUUUAUCAUCAUUCGUGUGAAUUGGGAUAUUUAAAUGAUUAUAAUAAAGUUAUUGCUGAUAAUCCACAAACUCCCUGGCAUGACAAUCGGAGUAUCCACCAGUGCAUUUUCAACCAAAUUGUAUUAUUAAUAGAGGAAGAAGUUAUCAACAAUAAAAAUUGUGUGUUGUUAUCUUCUCUUUGUGAUACAUACAAUAAUGAAUUAAAGCUUCAGUCUCAGUCAGAUGUAAAUUUAAUGACAAAUCAUUAUCUUGAGGAAAAUAUAUUCAAACAAUUUAAAAAAUCAAUUGAAAUUAUUUCAAAAAAUAGAAAAAAAGUUAUCAUGCACAAAGAUUGUAGUUUAUUAGAAGAUAAUGAUUUGACGAGACUCGAGGAAAAUGAACUUAUUGAUAAAGUAGCUUUAGUCCUGCGGAACACCAUUUUAAAAAUGGACAAAUUAAAAUUACCUUAAAAAAUCAAGCCAAAUGAUUUGAUCAAUGGUGAAUGUACCAUUUAUCUGGUUUGUUGGAGAGCAGUUACCAUCAUUAGUUGCCGACAUUAUCAUUGAAGAUAAUAGCUUAUUACAAGACGAUGAUAAUCCAAAAGACGACGAUGGCAAUGAAAAUGACAGUAGUGAUGAAGAUGAUGAUAAUUAUCAAGAUGCCUCCGUUUUUUGUGACACAAUUAUGGAUUAAAAAAUAUAAUUUUUGUUUACUUUCAUCCUUGAGAUAGAUUAUUACCUUAAUUUUGCACAAAAAUAAAUAAUUAUUUUAAUGCUA